GACGAACGCUGGCGGCGUGCCUAAUACAUGCAAGUAGAACGCUGAAGGAGGAGCUUGCUUCUCCGGAUGAGUUGCGAACGGGUGAGUAACGCGUAGGUAACCUGCCUGGUAGCGGGGGAUAACUAUUGGAAACGAUAGCUAAUACCGCAUAAGAGUAGAUGUUGCAUGACAUUUGCUUAAAAGGUGCAAUUGCAUCACUACCAGAUGGACCUGCGUCGUAUUAGCUAGUUGGUGGGGUAACGGCUUACCAAGGCGACGAUACAUAGCCGACCUGAGAGGGUGAUCGGCCACCCUGGGACUGAGACACGGCCCAGACUCCUACGGGAGGCAGCAGUAGGGAAUCUUCGGCAAUGGACGGAAGUCUGACCGAGCAACGCCGCGUGAGUGAAGAAGGUUUUCGGAUCGUAAAGCUCUGUUGUAAGAGAAGAACGAGUGUGAGAGUGGAAAGUUCACACUGUGACGGUAUCUUACCAGAAAGGGACGGCUAACUACGUG
rnacentral:rRNA from 1 species